ACAAGUACCGUGAGGGAAAGUUGCAAAGCACUUUGAAGAGAGAGUUAAAGAGGACGUGAAACCGGUGGGGUGGAAACGGAUAGAGCCGGCGUAUCUGACAUGUAUUCAACCGCUAAACUAUCGCGUUUCGGACUUUGAUCUCCAGAUUGGGCACUGUUCGAUUCCUUGAUGGUGGUGUGGUGCAUUUGCAUGUGGAGUGCGUAGAGGCGUCAGGGAUUGAGGUGUGAUCUCUGUUUUGAGGCCCGCUUGCUGGUACCCAAACUUUGGCAGCACCUUUUGUUCCGGACGUUUUAUUUGCAAGGCUUACGAGCUCUAUUGGGGCUCGAACUGGGGGUCGGUUACGGUCGCAUGCGACACGUGCCGUUCAACCAGUUCGGUCCUGGUCGAGCUCCCGUGCAGUCUCUCUGCGUAAAAGCCGGUCACCUAUCCGACCCGUCUUGAAACACGGACCAAGGAGUUUAUCGUGUGCGAGAGUCAUUGGGCUUUCAAAACUCAAAGACGAAAUGAAAGUGAAUGUCCUCGCAAGAGGCUGACGUGUGAUUCCCUUUUUUUGAGGUGGGGAAGCAGCAUGGCCCCAUUCUGACUGCUUGCAGUGGGGUGGAGGAAGAGCGCAUGCGGUGAGACCCGAAAGAUGGUGAACUAUUCCUGAGCAGGAUGAAGCCAGAGGAAACUCUGGUGGAAGUCCGAAGCGGUUCUGACGUGCAAAUCGAUCGUCUGACUUGGGUAUAGGGGCGAAAGACUAAUCGAACCAUCUAGUAGCUGGUUCCUUCCGA
rnacentral:rRNA from 1 species